rnacentral:tRNA from 2 species
GGAGGGAUGGCCGAGUGGUCGAAGGCGGCGGUUUGCUAAACCGUUGUACGGUGACAAGCCGUACCGUGGGUUCGAAUCCCACUCCCUCCGCCA